CCUACGGGAGGCAGCAGUGAGGAAUAUUGGUCAAUGGACGAGAGUCUGAACCAGCCAAGUCGCGUGAAGGAUGACUGCCCUAUGGGUUGUAAACUUCUUUUAUAUGGGAAUAAAAUGUUCCACGUGUGGGAUUUUGUAUGUACCAUAUGAAUAAGGAUCGGCUAACUCCGUGCCAGCAGCCGCGGUAAUUCGGAGGAUCCGAGCGUUAUCCGGAUUUAUUGGGUUUAAAGGGGGCGUAGGUGGAUUGUUAAGUCAGUUGUGAAAGUUUGCGGCUCAACCGUUAAAUUGCAGUUGAAACUGGCAGUCUUGAGUUCAGUAGAGGUAGGCGGAAUUCGUGGUGUAGCGGUGAAAUGCUUAGAUAUCACGAAGAACUCCGAUUGCGAAGGCAGUUCACUGGACUGCAACUGACACUGAGGCUCGAAAGUGUGGGUAUCAAACAGGAUUAGAUACCCGUGUAGUC
rnacentral:rRNA from 1 species